AGGAAUAUUGGUCAAUGGGCGCGAGCCUGAACCAGCCAAGUAGCGUGAAGGAUGAAGGUCCUACGGAUUGUAAACUUCUUUUAUAAGGGAAUAAAGUCACCCACGUGUGGGUGUUUGUAUGUACCUUAUGAAUAAGCAUCGGCUAACUCCGUGCCAGCAGCCGCGGUAAUACGGAGGAUCCGAGCGUUAUCCGGAUUUAUUGGGUUUAAAGGGAGCGUAGGCGGGUGCUUAAGUCAGUUGUGAAAGUUUGCGGCUCAACCGUAAAAUUGCAGUUGAUACUGGGCGCCUUGAGUGCAGCAUAGGUAGGCGGAAUUCGUGGUGUAGCGGUGAAAUGCUUAGAUAUCACGAAGAACUCCGAUUGCGAAGGCAGCUUACUGGACUGUAACUGACGCUGAUGCUCGAAAGUGUGGGUAUCAAACAGGAUUAGAUACCCUGGUAGUCCACACAGUAAACGAUGAAUACUCGCUGUUGGCGAUACACAGUCAGCGGCCAAGCGAAAGCAUUAAGUAUUCCACCUGGGGAGUACGCCGGCAACGGUGAAACUCAAAGGAAUUGACGGGGGCCCGCACAAGCGGAGGAACAUGUGGUUUAAUUCGAGGAUACGCGAGGAACCUUACCCGGGCUUAAAUUGCAGCGGAAUGUAGUGGAAACAUUACAGCCUUCGGGCCGCUGUGAAGGUGCUGCAUGGUUGUCGUCAGCUCGUGCCGUGAGGUGUCGGCUUAAGUGCCAUAACGAGCGCAACCCUCGUGUCCAGUUACUAGCAGGUUAUGCUGAGGACUCUGGACAGACUGCCAUCGUAAGAUGUGAGGAAGGUGGGGAUGACGUCAAAUCAGCACGGCCCUUACGUCCGGGGCUACACACGUGUUACAAUGGGGGGUACAGCAGGCAGCUACCGGGCGACCGGAUGCCAAUCCCGAAAGCCUCUCUCAGUUCGGACUGGAGUCUGCAACCCGACUCCACGAAGCUGGAUUCGCUAGUAAUCGCGAAUCAGAAUGUCGCGGUGAAUACGUUCCCG
rnacentral:rRNA from 1 species